AAAAAAAAAUCAUAGCGGCCACAUCAUGUUUGGAGCUACCAAAAAUCUACCGUGAUAUCAUACGAGUAUGUGUUUGCAUGACUGCAUUGGCAAUUUAAAACUUCCUCAGUUGCUGACCAAUAUAAGUUAAUGCAAUAUCGAGUUUCAUGACUUUAGUCUCAUUAAUUAAUUAGUAGCUUUUAGAGAAUGUAACAUUGGUUUCGUUAAAAAGUUAUUGAUCUCGUUAUUAAUCUUGAAGUUAUCCAUGAUACAUUGAUACUCAUAUCCACUUUCGUUCAUUUGCCUGUUAAGUAGCACCCUUAAUUUUUUUUUGAGGUGAAGCAAAAGAAGUGACCUUAAUGUACCCAUGUAUCAUAAAUUUACAUUUCUUCUUAUGUCUACUUGCUUGGUGCUUUCGGCUGUUUAUUUCGCAAGGUUAUAUAUUAGAGUUAUGAUAAGUAUAUUAUAUUAGAGUCCUAGACUACUAAACGAGUAUAAUUUCAUUAUGAUAUUAGGUAAGAGUGCGAGGCGGAUCAGAUGUGGCUGAUUGAAAACAACUUUCAUAUUCCCUUCCUGUUCUCCUUUCAUUGUUGCCCUCCCUCUGCCCCCACCAGUAUCUCUCAUAACUCUAGUCUUUGUUCUCUGGUCCCCUUCCUCGCUAAAGUGAAGUAACCUACUAUAGUACUGGCUUCUUAGUGAUGCAAUGAAGCAGAAGUGCAGAUGCCAAUGGGUGCUAAAAUUAUUACUUUCACCUCAUUGCCUUUGGAUUUAUACAUACAGAUAUAUACCUAUGUACUAAACAGAAUCAUAAAGAAUCCUAGUUAAGAAAUUUGAUUUGAUGCUCCACAGAUGUAACUUCUAAGAUUCGACAACUGAUUUACAUCUCCAUCUUUAAAUUGCUCGAUUCAAUGGUGCCUGCACAUUAAAUGAUGGCUGUUAAAAGACCUGUGAGGUGUUUCAUAUUUUCAUAAGUUUUUAGUAAAACACUAAAUGCAUAAAAUAAAAACUAGUAACUACCACGAUAAUGUAAUUGUAGUUUUAUGCAUUUUGCUGCUUUAAAAAGUUUUUUUUAAUUAUAAUCUUGUUGCUAUUAUUAACUCUAAAACCAAAGUCCUGUUCCUGUAGAUACUUCUUUUGAGAUAUUAUGUGAUUGGACUGGUGCUUAAGAUAAGUAACAUCAUGUCCUCAUGACCUAGUUUUGUUAAUCACAUCCUUUUCAAACCAAAUUUAUGUAAGAAAAUUAGGAGUGUUUGUAUAUUUAUAGUUAUUAAGUAGGUUUUAUAGUUAAAAGUAGGAGCACAUGAAACCUAAUAUAGGAAAUUGAAUAAGAUGUUUCGGUGUUAUCUACCUGUGAAUGUCUGUAGUGGAAAUGAUGUUGAUUUUCCUUGUUGAAAAUCCAUGUUGUAAAUAUUUUGUAAUUCAGGAUCCCAUUGUAAAAAAUUUGGAAUUUGCUGCAAAUAUUAAAUCAAAUUAAUGUUAGUGAAAGAAAAGAGUUACUCCUAACAAAAGAUUGGUCACGCCGAACUGAAAAGGAGGAAAUUACAUUGAAGUAGGAUGUGUCAAGAAAAUUCUCUGGUAUUGAUACAGGAGCACUGAUGCUUCUCUUCAGCCCCAAAUCAAUUGGGUUUACGGCGACUGUGGAUACACUAACUGGAUCCAUUUGUUCAAUAGGAUUGUAUUGUAGGUAGCUGGGAUGAGUUAAAUCUGGUGAUACCCCCAUUGUUGGUAGACUAGUAGAGCAUGCUGCAAAAACCUGUUAAAGAGAGUUGCAGAAAUCAGUUCUUUUCAGCAAUUUUCUCGUCUCUUUUUCGAUGAAAAGUUUCUGCAUGAUUAGUUCUUUCUUAUGUAUUUACCUCUUUGGCAAUUAAGUCAUCAAUGCUGAAAUCAAGCCUGGGAUUAACUGUUGCCAGUUUCAUGGAAAGGAACUGUUUUAAAGAAAGAGGGAAAAAUCAGUUAACUAUUGGUAGUUACAGGAACUUUUUUUUUUUUUUUUUUCCAAUUUCAUUACGAACUCUGUUUACCUCUACUUGUCUUUGAAGAGAUUGAACAUAAUUAAUUAUUUCAUCAAGCAUUCCAGCUUUCCCUGUGAUCUUAUUGCACCCUGGAACUAAAUCUUGGAGGUAUUUCAUUCUUUCACUGAUUUUUUCCCUCCUUACCUGCAUUACAACCCAUAAAUGCAGAAUAUGAGUAAUCUGGUAACAUCAAUGUAUCAAUGUUUAUUUACCUCUAAUAAAGUGUAUAUAUUUUCUUACUCUUUCAGCUAAGCUGUGGCUAUCAGUCGCCUGGCCACGCCUUGCUCUGACAUGAAUGUAAUCAGGCUUGUCUAACUCGGACGCCUUUGAAUUAUCUUUAGAUGUACACCCUGAAGUUUCUUUGUUUUUCUUGUCAUUGUUAUUCUCAUUGCUUUCCUUUUGUUUACACUGGCUACUAUUGCUGCGUCUAUUGCUAUGUUGUUCGGUGAUUUUUGAUUCUUCCUCUUCAGCAUACCCUUUGCUCUUUUUUGACUUGCUGUCUUCUUCUGCAUCUACUACCUGCAACAUAUAAUUUGGACAGGAAGUUUUUAGGGGAUCAGUUAGUGACAUGUAAUUUGCUGAUGAAGUGUUCAGUCUAAUUAGAUUUUGCAUUCAGGAUCUUGCAGACUAUAUAUAUAUAUAUAUUGCUACAGAGUGUGUUUUUGGCAUAUAAAUGCGGAAUUAAGUUCGUAAUCCAUAGAGAGAUCUUUACCUUUGGUGUAAAAUUAUUUGCUUUCCUCUUCUUGAAACUCUCUUUUCCAGCUGCUCCACUCAGUUUCUGAUCUGAUGGGAGGAAUUCUCUUCCUUUGGCAUCAUGGGUCGCGUUAACAGCGGCUGCUGCUGCCGCCACUGAUGGCGGGCAACUGAUUGUUCUCGAAAUGCCAUAAUCCAUUUCAUAGCCAGGACUGUUAUGGACUUGCCCAGCAGACUCCAUUCCCAAGCUCCCAACAGUAACCCCACUUUUCGGCAUCCCAAAAUCCAUCCACCCAUUCUCCAAACCCGGAUCAGCCUUAAUGGGUCGGUUCAAAAGCUCAUUUAGAGUUGGACCAGUUGUAACUGGGCUUGUGCUAUAAUUCAUGUUCAUGUUCAUGCUCUGAAAAUCUUGUGCUUCAGCAGGUAAGAAAGACAGCACACUCAGGUCACUAAAGCAGCUCAGUUCUUGUUGUUGCUGGUGUGGUUGGACAUGGAGAAGCUGGUCUUGUUGCCACUUAAAAACCAAUCUCUGUCUUUCCAAAACACUCAUCUCCAUGCCCUUAACUCCGAUUACAUUUCCGGGCAUGUUAAGGCAGUGUAACAUCUCCGGCAAAGUUCUAUUCAUUGCCUACCAAAUCUAAUAAUAGUAAGUGAAAAAUGAUUGUUUUUGUGCUAUUACCAAGUCUUAAUAUAUACUUGUACUAAAAUAGUUUGUUGUUCUUUUGCUUUUAUGAAGGUGGGGAGGAAAGUUGGUGUGCUGUAAGGAUUAGGCAGGCUUUUGUAAUGAUUUGGUACCUAACACAAGUUCUUCAUGACCAAGGUAUUGUAAUUAUAUCCGGUGAUCUAUUACUCCCUAAAAAAAGAGAUACAAAAUCUGUCUUGUCUCGCUUACAUGAUGCUGCGAUAGACAAUUACGUUCAGAUACCAAUCUGAAGAGCCAUGUUGAAGAUAAUCUGGAUAUAUGGUGGGGAGCAAGUCCAGUGAGGAUGAAGGGUACUUCCAUUAUCAAGCUCUGGGCCCUGCAAAUUCUAGUGUCAAUCUCUAUCCUACCUUUAUAGUUAGUAAAGACUAUUGGCCCAUGCCAAUGCAAAGGGGGAAGGCUUAUUGAAUUGAAGAAAGCAAAUGUGUGGAGGGCAAUGAAGAUAUAAUUAUCACUGCGAAAAUAACAGAUUGUUCGUCAUUGACCAUACUAUAUGGGUUUCUUUCUCUCCUGGCUCCUAGUUUUCAAUAAAACAUGGAGCAACUGUCUUUGGCUUCUUAAAAUAUCACAUCUCCAGUUUUCUAUGUUAUCUUUGAUCGUCCAAUAAAUAUAUAUAUGUGCAUCAGCAUGUUCUUUCCCAAAGUUUCUUUAGGCCCUCAUUUAACAUUAAGGAGUUUGCUUUAUAGGGACAUACACGUUAAGUUAUGCAGUAACCCACUAUAAUUAAUCAGUCUCAAACCUUGAAAGCAAAAAAGAUACGUGUGCUCAUUUAACACACGUAUUUAGGGAGCGUUUGGUAUAAUUAAUGAAAACGUAACAGAAAGAAUUUGGAUAGGCAGGGGAAAUGUAAAUGCUGAUUGUUUCUUUUAAUAGUUGUUUGGUGUCGUAGUGGAAUGGAAACAAUUGAGAGGUUUAUGAUUGAUGAAGGAAACGUAAUUUGUUUCCACUAGUUUGAUAAGGGUAACAAAUGGGAGGAUUAUGUUUCCUCUCCGGAAACGAUAUAUGUUACUUGGCAUCAUACCAAACAAUUAGAAAUAGAAAGCUUAUUUGAAUCCAUUUCCGACAUCAAAUUUUUUUAUACCAAACACCUUAUAAUUAUGAAGUACUAUAACUUUAACCGUCACAUGUUCAAUGUAUUACAUA